GAAUGAAUAAAUUAAAACAGCAAAAGGUGAACUAAGCUAUCUCUCUGGGUUCCUUCUGGCAUUGGCCGCUAAUAGGAUUAUUAUGUAGCUCUGAUUUAUGUCAUAGGUAGAUGGUAGUCCUUAUAUGGUGGGAGAAAGAGACUGGAAGGUUUAUGUCAUAGGUAUCUGGUAGUCCUUAUAUGGUGGGAGAAAGACUGGAAGGGCAGUGAGGAGGUCCCAUCUAACAGGGGAUUUGCGUCGCAAGUAAAUGUAAAAAACUGGGAGAGUAAUGGUACAAGUACAAUCAUGAGUUCUAAAAGCUGUAAUGCCUCACCGAAUGUUCCAACAUAUCACGACUUGGGCAGACAAUC
rnacentral:lncRNA from 1 species